GGUUGGCACAGAGUAAAGUACAGACCUGUACUGUGUUCCUGAAAAUUCCUAGGCAGCAUGGGAAAUACACACACAGAGCCAGGUACAGGUGGCUCACACCUAUAAUUCUGGUUAUUCAGGAGGCUGA